rnacentral:rRNA from 1 species
CCUACGGGAGGCAGCAGUGGGGAAUAUUGCACAAUGGGGGAAACCCUGAUGCAGCGACGCCGCGUGAGUGAAGAAGUAUUUCGGUACGUAAAGCUCUAUCAGCAGGGAAGAAAAUGACGGUACCUGACUAAGAAGCCCCGGCUAACUACGUGCCAGCAGCUGCGGUAAUACGUAGGGGGCAAGCGUUAUCCGGAUUUACUGGGUGUAAAGGGAGCGUAGACGGCAGCGCAAGUCUGGAGUGAAAUCCCAUGGCUUAACCAUGGAAGUGCUUUGGAAACUGUGCAGCUAGAGUGCAGGAGAGGUAAGCGGAAUUCCUAGUGUAGCGGUGAAAUGCGUAGAUAUUAGGAGGAACACCAGUGGCGAAGGCGGCUUACUGGACUGUAACUGACGUUGAGGCUCGAAAGCGUGGGGAGCAAACAGGAUUAGAUACCCGUGUAGUC